ACGGGAGGCAGCAGUAAGGGAUAUUGCACAAUGGGGGAAACCCUGAUGCAGCAAUGCCGCGUGAGGGAAGAAGGUCUUCGGAUUGUAAACCUAAGUUGGUGGGGACGAUAAUGACGGUACCCACAGAGAAAGCUCCGGCUAACUACGUGCCAGCAGCCGCGGUAAUACGUAGGGAGCGAGCGUUGUCCGGAUUUACUGGGCGUAAAGGGUGCGUAGGCGGGUUUGCAAGUCAGGCGUGAAAUACCGGGGCUUAACUCCGGAGCUGCGCUUGAAACUGCAGAUCUUGAGUGAAGUAGAGGUAGGCGGAAUUCCUAGUGUAGCGGUGAAAUGCGUAGAUAUUAGGAGGAACACCAGUGGCGAAGGCGGCCUACUGGGCUUUAACUGACGCUGAGGCACGAAAGCGUGGGGAGCAAACAGGAUUAGAUACCCUGGUA
rnacentral:rRNA from 2 species